GGAAGAGGCCUGCUCUCUGGCUGGGGCGUGGAGCUUCUGGGGGUGAGUGGAGGAGUGAGUGGCUGCCUGGAAGGCAGGAAGUGGUUCUGCGGGCAAUUGUGAGGGAGACUUCGAGGGAGAGGGGGCCUUGUUGAGCCCACCAGCUCAGCUCUUCAGUCCAGUCCUGGAGGUGCCUGUCCCGCCCAGGAGAGCCGCAGGGCACUGCGCACCCCUUCCACGGCCUCGUUAUGGACUGCUGCAGAGUGAGCUGCCCUCAGCUUGGGGAGGUUUCAGAUCCAGCCCUCUUUCUGCCUCCAACCAGAUCUCUGGUGAGUGUUCCCCCAGCCUGGCCUAGGGCAUGCCCCAGUUCACUUUCGCCUGCUUCUGUGGUCUCCAUGGCUUCUGCAAAAUGAAGAGGAAGAAGGAGGAAGUUCACAGAGAGCGGGAGACGGCGGUGUGAGCAGAACCAGGGCGCCUCCAUCAGCCCCCAGCAGGUCCCAGGCCUGACGGUGCCCGCUUCUGGCUGGGGCUUGGAGCAGGAAGCCGUGUGUGCAUCUUAAGUCUUGAUUUAGCUGGUGCUCUUCUCAGCCUGACUCUCACCUGAGGGCAUCAGCCUCCCUUGUGCCUCCCAGCCGCCUCAUGCCCACACCCAGUAGCUUCCAAUUCUCAGACCUCCUUGGAGAGAGGUUCCGGCCACACAGGGGAGCCCCAGGACCUGCGGCAUGCCUUCCAGAGAUGGAGAAGCCCCAGGGAGGCCAAGGAGCGAAAGUUCUUUCCUGCCCUGAGAGCUUCGGGGGACUUUUGUUAGGGUAACCCGCACGAGGGAUGUGCCGCCUUGGGCUAGGAGAGCUGCUGCUAAAUGGGAAAGUGGCUGCUCUUGCAGAGAACCGCCAGCAGCCCUGACCCCGGAGAAGGCCUGGGGAGGAAGUGUGAGACAACCGCCCAAGCCCAGGAUGGAGACUCUCCUGGGACUCCAGGACCAGGGACAUGAGUCCUUUUCCAGCCCCUUCCCAGCAUCCUCCUGGGCCAGGUGGGGCCAGGCCUGAGGUGGCCAGCCGAGGGAGGAGGAGGGCAGAGGCGGCCAGUGGCUCUGUGGCUCCCUCUGUUCCUGCCCUCCAGAAAGCAGCCCUGACCCUGGCCCUGACCCACCUGUGAUCACGAUCACGAUCCCUGUGCCUCCUUGGCAGCAGCCCAGAUGUGCGGAGGCCUGUUCCCCAGGCCCUGACUCCCCUCCUCAGGGACUUCUUGCUGUGGCCAGACCAAGGGGCUCCUUUCCUGGACUGAGCUGGGUGCCCCCUCCAUUCUCCUAUCUCCCCUGCCUUUUUCUUCUCUCCUCAGAAGCCAUAGAGGGGACUGCGUUCGUGUGUGGUGCCUUCAGGGGAAACUCUUGGGGUAGGGGGAUCUCUAGGACGUUCCUUGACUUUCUCCCUCAUCUCCCCACCCCCGCCGACCUUCCGGCUUCAGUCUCUGCGCAUACCACCAGCCCAUUUCCAGGAGACAGAAAGCAAAAGAAAAAAAAUAUUUCCUUCCCUCUUUCCUUCCUUCUUCCUUCCUCCCUUCCCCCAUGUUGGCAUAACUUAGCCUUUUGUCUUUGAUCCUGGAGUUCUCGGGGCUAGAAGACGAGCAGACAGGAAUGCCAGCAGCUGAGAUGCUUCGGGCAGAUUCUGUAAGCCUGUUCUCCCUCAUCAGGGAACUUCUAAGCCAAGGAGCAAAGUCAAAUCCCCUCUAGCUCCCCAGUGACAGCGUAGCCCUCUGACAGGUAAACAGGUGACCUGGGUAGAGAGGUCAGGGCCCCAGGACAGGAGUCUGGGCUCCACUUUCCUUGGAAUGUGGACCUCACUGGGCAAUUAAGGAGAACGAGAGGCUUCUCGGUGGGUUUGCCCAGAACCUCAGAGAAGCAAGGGCAUGUUCUACGCCAGCAGCCUCUGCCUGCCCAGCUCAUGCCCAUACUCAGGGGCCUUUCCUGUGCUUUGGGCAGAUUUGGUGGGAUCCAGAUUGUCUUUAUAAGGCUUGAGCACAGCUUGGUUUCCUCCUUUCAUCUUCCAACCCCUUCCAUUGCCCCUACCUCCCAGCCCCAGCCUUCUACAAUCUGUUAUUUCCUUUUAUAUCCAAAGAAUUAUAAACAGAAGUCCUUCCCUCAAGGGAACAGCAAGAUUCAGCAAUAAAGGCCAGUGGGGUCACAAAGGACAGGAGACGAACUCCCUGGUGCUUUGUCCUCUUGGAUAGGAGAGGCCUUGGCUGAGGCAAAGAGAUGGGCAGAAAAGUUACCUUGAUACAGAGGCCGGAGAGCCGCCUGGAGGGCAUAUGUGUCCCUAGCGGUCGCCUGUGAGGCUGCAAUCCUAGAGAAGUCACUCCUGUGGCAGAGGAUGAAAUUGUAUCCCCGGAGACUUAGAGGUAUUGGGUGUUCUGUCCUGACCACACGGUCUCACCGGGAAGAAAGGUCAGGAAAGUGGAGAACGAACGUCCUGGGAGUAGGUGGCCGAGGAGAUCUUCCCCCACGUGCACCUCUCAGAACUUGGCAGGUUUUGCAGCUGCAGGCCUUUGGCAGUGAGCCCAUCCAGAAAGCUGCUUCCCCUGGGAGAACUCCCUUGGCUCCAGAGGGAUACUGGAUAUCUUGAGCUCUGGCUUUGGGAACAUGGGUGGAGUCCCAAGGUCAAAGUGUUCUGAGUGGAGGUCCAGUUGUCCUCUGCCUCCAAGCCGGUGGCCCCGUCUUCACCCAGGGCUGAGGUUGGGGCCAGCCCUGCAGCUGAUCUGAGUAGGAGGUAGCAGCUUCUCGCCAGGUGCACCCCAACCCCACAUUCUAUUGUCCCACAGUUUCCUCUCAGAGAAAUGGGGACUUUGCUCCUUUUAGCAUCUCGGAAGGCAGUCUGGACACCUGUGCCCACCUCUAUGCCCUUGGUACAGGGAAGGCCAAAGCAGCUCCAACAUCCACAGACCCUGUACCCUGGGGCUCUGACUUCUGGCCAGGCUUCUACUCCUUCUGGGGUGGGCCUGGCUGCUUUGCCUUCCCAUCCUCUCUCCGGGGUUCUCUCCCAGAGACUCUACCUUGAGGUCGGGGUCCUGCGCUCAGGUGCAUGGGCAGAUGAUUCUGUGGAGGAGAUCAGGCCUCUUGUUCUUGCUGUGUAAAACUGAUUCUUCCUUGCAGGCAGGUGGGGGGGGGUCUUAGCCUCCCUGGGCCUCAGUUUUCCCCAUCUGUAAAGGGGAGGACUUCCCAUGCCCAUGUUCCCUCUUGGGCUUUAGGCAGUUGAAUGGAGUAUCAAGAAGUGUGAAGGGUCUUUGUGACAUGAGUGUUGUCUGGGACCCUGGCCCACAGGACCCAAGGGGCUUCUUGUCUCAGGUUGAAACCUUUUUAUUAGAAUGUCAUUUCCUUCUCUGCUCCCAGGGAAGGGCUUUUUGAAUGUAGCAUAUGGGUUCAUAGAAAUAUAUAGGGAGAUUGUUAUUUUUAGAAAAAAAAAAAAAGAGCAAUAAUUAACUAACUGAAAUAUACAUGAAGUAGUAGAGUGGGAUGCAAAGAACACUGAGCUGGGAGCCAGGUCUCCUGGGUUCUAGCCCUGCCUGGAAACUAAUGACCAUGUGACCUUAGUCACAUCUUAUUUCUGAGACUCAGGUUCCUCAACUAUAAAUCGGGGAUUACGUGAAUGUCCUCUUAAGUCCCCCUUGGAGUCCAGGGCUCCCUGAGUCUGGGAAGUUGCGCCUCAGUGGGGCAUAGGGUUGUGGAACCAGAGGGUUGCAGGUUUCCUGUGCCCUCACAGAUGCAUUCUGUGCAGACAGCAAAUGUGUGGGGUGGUAUGGAGGCUCUGAGAAGUGAGGGGGAUGGGGGAGUGAAAGGGAAAGGGAAGUCCCCCGGAGCUUCUGCUAGAAUCCUCCCCUAGCCAGGGCCCAGGACCCCCUGCCGCUCUGCCUCUCUUCCCUCCUACAGCCAGGCCCCAGGGGAGUAAGUCUGUUGGCCUGGACUCCUGUCUAACCCAUCACAGGCACCACUCUUAGGUACACUCUUGUUUUCUCUCUGUCGCAUACACACACCAUCACCACCCCACCACCACCUGCAGAUAGAUGCUCAAGCCAUUCUUUAUAGAUCUCAUGGACUCGUGCCCUGCUCCAGUUCCGUAACCCAUGGGCUUCUGUUUGCACAGCUUCUCAUGUGCCCAUCUCCAUGCUGAUCAACCACCACACCUCAUUCCUUGCCUUCUGCAAGGGGAAGUGCCUCAGGCUGGAAUAUGUCCUGUCUACAGACUGAAUGUGCGUUUUGCCUAGUGGUUGGGGAUGUGCUGAUGGUGGAAUGUGCUGGCGAUCGUUUCUGGAUGGAAAGCCACAGCCCUCCAGUGUUCUGCCAUGGCUGACUCCUGACCUUGGCAAAUUGCCUCCUCUCUCCCAGCCUUCUCCAUAACAGGUGGCAAUGAGUCCUAUGCCCUCCCUACCUCGCAGGAAGGCACUCAUUAUAAAGGGCACACUUAGCACAUGUGCCCAGAUAUGCCUGGAACUUUUGGAGACAGAUACUUGGUUCACAACCAUGAAGAUGAGCUUUCGCCAGAGAAGGAAUCUUUGGGCUGCUGAGUUCAGUGGGCUCCCUCCAGGCUGGUCCAGGAAGUCUGGUGUUCCUCCUGAAGGUGGCUGCUGUGCCCAGCAGGUGAUCAAGCUGACAAUACCACAAGAACCAGAAUCUGUUCCCAAGGAAUGAACGUUCUGUCUCUCUGACCCAAAAGCAAGAACAAGAGAGAGCCGUCGCCACCAUCGCCCUGCUCCCAACACAAACACAGCCCCCAAGUCCAUGUUGCUGACUAGGGUGUCUGGCUCAUCAGAGUGAAUCCUGUGGACCCCCAGGCCAUCCCUGGAGUAGUCAGUGCCCACUGUGUCGGGGUUGUUGUGGCCAGCCCACCUGGGUUCCCUUCUCUAAGUUUCCAUGGGAUCAGAGCUAUAAUCAUGAAAAGGAAACAGAAACCGUGGCUCUUCACAGGGGAGCCCAGGAGGUCAGGACCAUCCAUCAGGAGGGUGAGUGGUGGCUGCCCGGGGCAUCCCUGGAGGAAGUUGUCUUGCCAAGGAAGAAACUGCAAAAGCCAAGAGCUCCCGGACCUGAGCAGCUCAGGCGCUGGCAGAAACCCUCGAGUCUGGAGUUCAAAGGUUUUCCUCGUGGCUGCUGGUCUGUCUCUUUCCCUUUUGGGGCAGCCAUCUCUCCUCCUUUAGCUCAUUCCUGUGUUCCAUCCAAGGGGCGGGAGGAAGGCAGGAAGGGGAGAUGGCAGGACCCAGACAGAUCCUCAGGACUCGCCCAGCCUCUGUUGCCAUGGCAACACUGCUAUUUUUAUCCCGUUGUUCACGAUGCUCAAAGCUCUAACUUUUUCUGUUCCAGAGAGGCCAGGCUGGCUUCUGCCCUCAUCCUUCAACACAGCAUCUUCUCCCAGAGGUCUGAGGAUGGGAAAGAGUGAUGGAGAAAAGGGGAGCCCACUAGGUCACCCCUCAACCAAGGGGAACUGUUUGAUGGGGUUUGUCUCUGCCCUUUUGAUCCUUUGGUUUUCUACCUGGCUCAGGCACCCAGGUUCAUGUUUUCUAGGAGAUCAAAACUCCCCAUGGUCUCCCUGAGAGACUGUUCCAGAGAAAAAAGAGCUGCCACUUAGGAUGGGUUUUCCUACACAGGUGUGAUACUGGGGCCACUUCCCUUCUUGGGAAAAUGAGAUUUCAUUCUGAACAAUGUCCUGUUGGUAUAAGCUGACCCCUGACCUCUUAAAAGGAGAUGGAGAAUUAAGUUUGAUUAAUUAGCAAUCAGAUUCACUGGGGAAUCGAAACCAGCACUUCCCUUUCUUCUGUUCCUCCACCAAAGAACUGGAACAAAUGGCUCCAUGUCUUUGUCCAGCCUUUCUGCCCAAAGCAAAAUAGCACAUAUUCUCCACGUUGAAAAGCCAGUCUACUCAGAUGGCCACAUUUCUCUCGAGGUUCUUGAAGACAAGGUCUAAUGAAAGGAUUUCUGUUCUUUCUCUGUCUGUUCUCUCUGGCCCAGCUUCUAGUCCUUUCUUUAUGUCCUCAAUCCAUGGUAGUGGCAGGAGACCCCUGAGAGUCAAUGGUGCUAACAUUCCCCACCUAUAUACCCCUAUACCCCUAUGUAGUUUAUUGAGAUUUGGACUCAGCACCCGGGGUGGCUGUGUUGGAUGGGUAUAUUUCACAUCCUCAAGACCAUGACCCUGGAGACAGGUCUGGAUUAACUCUGAAGUAGCAAUCUAUAUCAUGCUAAGCUCCUGCACUGAGGUUCUACUUUGGCUGAACUGACUCUUGGAUGGUUAAUUUUCCUGGGGUGGCUGGGACCCAUUUACUAAGCCUCUAAUUGGUUUCAUUUUGGCUCAAGUUGCGUGGUUUCCCGAAUCUAUGCACCUGGAGUAAGCACUUUUCUGGUUGCCACUGAAAAGCAUGCCAGCAAACGCUGCUCUGUUAAUUGCUGUAAUAAACAGACUUUAUUAUA